AGGACGAACGCUGGCGGCGUGCUUAACACAUGCAAGUCGAGCGGAAAGGCCCUUCGGGGUACUCGAGCGGCGAACGGGUGAGUAACACGUGAGUAAUCUGCCCCUAGCUCUGGGAUAGCUCCGGGAAACCGGGAUUAAUACCAGAUACGACCACUUUAGACAUCUUCUGUGGUGGAAAGAACUUCGGCUAGGGAUGAACUCGCGGCCUAUCAGCUUGUUGGUGAGGUAACGGCUCACCAAGGCGACGACGGGUAGCCGGCCUGAGAGGGCGACCGGCCACACUGGGACUGAGACACGGCCCAGACUCCUACGGGAGGCAGCAGUGGGGAAUAUUGCGCAAUGGGCGAAAGCCUGACGCAGCGACGCCGCGUGGGGGAUGAAGGCCUUCGGGUUGUAAACCCCUUUCAGCAGGGACGAAGCGAAAGUGACGGUACCUGCAGAGAAGCGCGGCUAACUACGUGCCAGCAGCCGC
rnacentral:rRNA from 1 species